CAGUCGCCGCGGUAAUACGGAGGAUCCAAGCGUUAUCCGGAAUCAUUGGGUUUAGAGGGUCCGUAGGCGGUUUAGUAAGUCAGUGGUGAAAGCCCAUCGCUCAACGGUGGAACGGCCAUUGAUACUGCUGAACUUGGAUAUUAGGAAGUAACUAGAAUAUGUAGUGUAGCGGUGAAAUGCUUAGAGAUUACAUGGAAUACCAAUUGCGAAGGCAGGUUACUACUAAUUGAUUGACGCUGAUGGACGAAAGCGUGGGGAGCGAACAGGAUUAGAUACCCCAGUAGUCCCUGUCUCUUAUACA
rnacentral:rRNA from 1 species